UCCUCCGUGGCGCAACUGGUUAGCGCGUCUGACUGUUAAUUUGCAAAGAAUUGCAAUCAGGAGGUUGACAGUUCAAGCCUGUCCGGGGGAG